rnacentral:lncRNA from 1 species
GCAUCUCUUUGUUGGGAUGUGCAGGGGUUUCAUGCAUGCAUUUCAAAUUUUUUUUUUAACAAAAGAACAUUAGAUUAAACUAUUUAAUCUAUAAAUACAUGCAUAAGAUCUAAUUUUAAAACUCUUAUAAAUAGAUUGAUGAUAUAAAUUUAUAUGCAUAAAAAUUUGAAUCCAAAAUGACAAGCAUGUGAACCAAAAACAGCAUUUAGUAAUAGAUCUAAUCUACUACUUCUAGGAUUCCGAACC